rnacentral:rRNA from 1 species
GCCCCAGUAACGGCGAGUGAAGCGGCAACAGCUCAAAUUUGAAAUCUGGCUUCGGCCCGAGUUGUAAUUUGUAGAGGAUGCUUUUGGUGAGGUGCCUUCUGAGUUCCCUGGAACGGGACGCCAGAGAGGGUGAGAGCCCCGUAUAGUUGGACACCGAGCCUCUGUAAAGCUCCUUCGACGAGUCGAGUAGUUUGGGAAUGCUGCUCAAAAUGGGAGGUAUAUCUCUUCUAAAGCUAAAUACUGGCCAGAGACCGAUAGCGCACAAGUAGAGUGAUCGAAAGAUGAAAAGCACUUUGAAAAGAGGGUUAAAUAGUACGUGAAAUUGUUGAAAGGGAAGCGCUUGUGACCAGACUUGUGCCCGGCUGAUCAUCCAGUGUUCUCACUGGUGCACUCUGCCGGGCUCAGGCCAGCGUCGGUUCUCGCAGGGGGACAAAAGCUUCGGGAACGUAGCUCCUCCGGGAGUGUUAUAGCCCGUUGCUCAAUACCCCUGCGGGGACCGAGGUUCGCGCUCUGCAAGGACGCUGGCAUAAUGGUCAUCAGCGGCCCGUCUUGAAACACGGACCAAGGAGUCGAGGUUUUGCGCGAGUGUUUGGGUGUAAAACCCGCACGCGUAAUGAAAGUGAACGUAGGUGAGAGCUUCGGCGCAUCAUCGACCGAUCCUGAUGUAUUCGGAUGGAUUUGAGUAAGAGCGUAUAGCCUCGGACCCGAAAGAUGGUGAACUAUGCCUGAAUAGGGUGAAGCCAGAGGAAACUCUGGUGGAGGCUCGCAGCGGUUCUGACGUGCAAAUCGAUCGUCAAAUUUGGGCAUGGGGGCGAAAGACUAAUCGAACCAUCUAGUAGCUGGUUACCGCCGAAG